rnacentral:rRNA from 1 species
UGGCUCAGGAUGAACGCUAGCGACAGGCUUAACACAUGCAAGUCGAGGGGCAGCACAGGUAGCAAUACUGGGUGGCGACCGGCGCACGGGUGCGUAACGCGUAUGCAACCUACCUAUAAUAGGGGGAUAGCCUUCUGAAAGGGAGAUUAAGACCGCAUAAUACAACUGAAUCGCAUGGAUUAGUUGUAAAAUAUUUAUAGAUUAUAGAUGGCCAUGCGUCUGAUUAGAUAGUUGGAGAGGUAACGGCUCACCAAGUCAACGAUCAGUAGGGGUUCUGAGAGGAGGGUCCCCCACACCGGAACUGAGACACGGUCCGGACUCCUACGGGAGGCAGCAGUGAGGAAUAUUGGUCAAUGGGCGAGAGCCUGAACCAGCCAAGUCGCGUGAAGGAAGAAGGUCUUAUGGAUUGUAAACUUCUUUUAUAGGGGAAUAAAGAUGAGUACGUGUACUCAGUUGUAGGUACCCUAAGAAUAAGGAUCGGCUAACUCCGUGCCAGCAGCCGCGGUAAUACGGAGGAUCCGAGCGUUAUCCGGAUUUAUUGGGUUUAAAGGGUGCGUAGGCGGGUUGAUAAGUCAGUGGUGAAAGGUUUGCGCUCAACGUAGACAUUGCCAUUGAAACUGUCAGUCUUGAGUACAAAUGAGGUAGGCGGAAUGUGUUGUGUAGCGGUGAAAUGCAUAGAUAUGACACAGAACACCAAUUGCGAAGGCAGCUUUGGCUCAGGAUGAACGCUAGCGACAGGCUUAACACAUGCAAGUCGAGGGGCAGCACAGGUAGCAAUACUGGGUGGCGACCGGCGCACGGGUGCGUAACGCGUAUGCAACCUACCUAUAAUAGGGGGAUAGCCUUCUGAAAGGGAGAUUAAGACCGCAUAAUACAACUGAAUCGCAUGGAUUAGUUGUAAAAUAUUUAUAGAUUAUAGAUGGCCAUGCGUCUGAUUAGAUAGUUGGAGAGGUAACGGCUCACCAAGUCAACGAUCAGUAGGGGUUCUGAGAGGAGGGUCCCCCACACCGGAACUGAGACACGGUCCGGACUCCUACGGGAGGCAGCAGUGAGGAAUAUUGGUCAAUGGGCGAGAGCCUGAACCAGCCAAGUCGCGUGAAGGAAGAAGGUCUUAUGGAUUGUAAACUUCUUUUAUAGGGGAAUAAAGAUGAGUACGUGUACUCAGUUGUAGGUACCCUAAGAAUAAGGAUCGGCUAACUCCGUGCCAGCAGCCGCGGUAAUACGGAGGAUCCGAGCGUUAUCCGGAUUUAUUGGGUUUAAAGGGUGCGUAGGCGGGUUGAUAAGUCAGUGGUGAAAGGUUUGCGCUCAACGUAGACAUUGCCAUUGAAACUGUCAGUCUUGAGUACAAAUGAGGUAGGCGGAAUGUGUUGUGUAGCGGUGAAAUGCAUAGAUAUGACACAGAACACCAAUUGCGAAGGCAGCUU